rfam:Populus trichocarpa isolate Nisqually-1 chromosome 4, whole genome shotgun sequence.
UAAUCUAUUAGGAUAAAUCCUCAUUUAGUUAAGACAAACUCACACCUGACUGCUCAUAAUCACCCACUACUAUGUGAACAAUUACUUUUUGAGAUUUUAAUUAGAGU